UCAUCUGAGGACUUGGCAUCGUCUUCUAAGGAAAGGCAGUGGUGCAUGUCCUGAGCCCAGACAUUAGGGUACCUAUCCAGAAACGAUCUCCUAACCUCUCCAGCCAAAACUUGUUUGAAGACAGAAUUGAAAAGUGCUUCAUGCUGAAAUUUCAUGCUUGACUGUGCCCUGAGAUAUGAAGCAUGACAAGGACUAGCACCCAAGAACUUGUCAGAAUAAAAACGUUUUGACAGUGGUCCUCCAGGGGGUUGUCCCUCUCUCGCAAGCCAUCAACAGUGAAGAUGCUCCUGAGAUGGAGAUGGCAACUUUCCAGGCAUAGCCAAUGUUUGCAGAAUCUGUACUUCUUCACUUAGCAGGUUCAGAUAAAGGGUAGGCAUGGAUGAACAUGGAAGAAUACACCUUUUAAUUCUUCACCGCAUCAGGCUUUCAUUCUUCUCUCAUUAUUGUGACGGUCUUAUCUAGACUCCCUGUGUCUUCUCUCCAAUUUUCAAUUUCUUUCAUAUAUUGCUAAGAAUUUUUCUGUAUCAUUAAUCUGGUCAUAUUGCCUCACUCAAUCACAACUGACUCUAUGGUCUACCGAAUAAAUUCUCAAGUCCUUGACAUUUCAUUGAAAGAACGUCACAGUGUGGCCUGGAUUUAUCCUCCCAGACACAUUUCUAGCCACCUCUGUGACCCCCCAAAUCUACGAAUCCAUCAUAUCAUGAAGUUCUGUGUAAGAACCGCUCUGGGUAAGCUAUGCAUUCUUUGAAGUAUUAAAUUGUGUUUUUCUUUGGAUGUGUACAUUUUGCCCAAAUCGUCAAUUUGUUGACAUAAUGUCAUUUAUA